rnacentral:rRNA from 1 species
CCUACGGGAGGCAGCAGUGGGGAAUAUUGGACAAUGGGGGGAACCCUGAUCCAGCGACGCCGCGUGAGUGAAGAAGUAUUUCGGUAUGUAAAGCUGUAUCAGCAGGGAAGAAAGAAAUGACGGUACCUGACUAAGAAGCCCCGGCUAACUACGUGCCAGCAGCCGCGGUAAUACGUAGGGGGCAAGCGUUAUCCGGAUUUACGGGGUGUAAAGGGAGCGUAGACGGCGAUGCAACUCUGCAGUGAAAGGCGGGGGCCAAACCUCCGGACUGCUUUGGAAACGGUAUGGCUGGAGUGCAGGAGAGGUAGUGGAAUUCCUAGUGUAGCGGUGAAAUGCGUAGAUAUUAGGAGGAACACCAGUGGCGAAGGCGGCUUACUGGACUGUAACUGACGUUGAGGCUCGAAAGCGUGGGUAGCAAACAGGAUUAGAUACCCCUGUAGUC